UCAUGGGCGCGAGCCUGAAACCAGCCAAGUAGCGUGAAGGAUGAAGGCUCUAUGGGUCGUAAACUUCUUUUAUAUGGGAAUAAAGUAUUCCACGUGUGGAAUUUUGUAUGUANNAUAUGAAUAAGGAUCGGCUAACUCCGUGCCAGCAGCCGCGGUAAUACGGAGGAUCCGAGCGUUAUCCGGAUUUAUUGGGUUUAAAGGGAGCGUAGGUGGAUUGUUAAGUCAGUUGUGAAAGUUUGCGGCUCAACCGUAAAAUUGCAGUUGAAACUGGCAGUCUUGAGUACAGUAGAGGUGGGCGGAAUUCGUGGUGUAGCGGUGAAAUGCUUAGAUAUCACGAAGAACUCCGAUUGCGAAGGCGGCCUACUGGGCACCAACUGACGCUGAGGCUCGAAAGUGUGGGUAGCAAACAGGAUUAGAUACCCUGGUAGUCCAAGGGCGAAUUC
rnacentral:rRNA from 1 species